rnacentral:tRNA from 6 species
GGCCCGGUGGCGGAGUGGUUACGCGCCGGACUGCAAAUCCGUUUACCCCGGUUCGAUUCCGGGCCGGGCCUCCA